GUCAUUUGGGAGCUCCUCGGGGCCCCAGGCUUGGAGGCCUAGAGUACCGCGCCCUUUAACGGAUAAUAUCAUCUAGUCGUGUUGAGCUGAGCCAACCAUGGACUGGACCUUCGAGUUCCAGUCUAUCAUGGAGCUCUGGGACUUGCUGCAGCGCUUGAAAGAGCAAGGAGCCGCGCAGUCAGACAGCGUGAACCAUCCCCAGCAGCCGGCGGAGCACUGAACAUGUCACUUUCAGCUUACACAAACUACUUACUUCUACUAUCUAAGUAAGCAGUCUGUCAGAGCUGAAACACGUUGCAUUUUCCAUGCUAUUAACAUGCUUUGCAUAUUAAUAGUUUUGAAAAUGCAACGUUGUAAUCAUAUGAGAUGACUAAGGUAGGCGCGGAUUCAAUUGUAAGAGAUCGUGAGGACCAAUUUUUAAAUCACCUUUCUUGCAAAUAUUGGUCCUUCGGUCUUUACCUUUGGAUCCGCGCCUGCACCCGUAACAACAUUCUACUACAUUGAAACUAACGUGAGAGUACCUAGUAACAUUACAGUACAAUUUAACUAUUGUAGUGAAGCUACUCCUCACAAGGGGAGGGGAGAAGAGGGGUUCACAAGAGCAUUAGUAAUGUGCGACACAUUGCUGGUACUCUUAACACUCUCAUUUAGUUAAGUUCGUCAACACUCUUCUCCUCUCUGACGUAUAAAAUGAUAAAUAUUUCAAAUCUUGUAAAUGCUCGAAUAGGUUAACUAUAAAAAAAAGUAGUCAUAAGUUAAUGAUCAGUGGUGGUCAAGUGUUGAUAUUUUAAUUACUAAGUUGAAUUCAACCCACAGUAGAUAAGUUUUAAGUUAAUUAUAAUAAAAGGCAUCUUGGUGGUGAUAUGCUACGUGAACUUACUCUAAUUAAAUGAAUAAUAUGUGUA